UGUUCGUGGAGGAUGGUGCUGUUUUCUACCAGUCUUAUUUUUCGUCUUGUCUCUUGCUGUUUUCAUCACACACUGAGCCCUCCCACACUCCACUGCAUUAAUGAGUUCGUCGUGAAUCAGUGCAGGCAGGGAUCUCAACAUGGCGACACACAGACAAGGAGGUCAUUUCGGCUGUUCAAGACUCUCUCUCACAGGGGUGAAAGCAAUGAUUUAAGGAUUGUCCUGCAGCUGCAAAACUCAAGCAAAUCUUGAAUAGUAUUCAUAGAUCGGAGGUAAUAAGAAACUGGAAGGUUAUUCCCAGGUUGCGACAGUACAGUGAGAAGCUUGUUACAGACAUGAAAGAUGGGCUGAAAUGACCAUUGUAGUGCUGUUGGCUCUUCCAACCGGAGGGGCAAAGUACUGACUGCUGUGGCCACCCUAAUCCAGAAGCAGGUGGUCUGGUGGAAGGCACAUUGAGAACAGUGAUGUGUUUUCAGGUGCAGGUCAAAGUUACUGAGAAGUGCUGAAGAUUGUACAGAAUCCAUGUGAACGUGUGUCAUCAAGGAGUUGAGCUUCUACCCUUUUUUCUCUUAUCUGUAUAUGGUGUGCAAUGUUAUUUAUCUGAUACUGAUAAAUUCUGGUCAGAUUUCUCAUUGUAAAUGUUUUUUUUGUUUUAAUUUGUAAAGCUUAGGGUUGGUUGGUUGCUAAUUGGGAAGUUUUUUUUUUUUUCCCCUGCAGUGACAGGAGUAUCAAUUUAUGCAGUAUGUGAGUACAAACAUAGCAGUAUAUUUUAUUUUGCUCAAGAAUAAAAAAUUGUGAAGGUAGUUGCUUGUAACUGCAUUAUUUGAUUUUAUUGUACCCCCGCUCUCAAAAGAAAAAUUGGUAAAGGAAUGACUCUGUCCCAUCCACAGGCUGGCUAUUACGCCACGGUGGUGCAUAUUGCGUGAUACCGAUGCGCAAUUUGCACCACUGCAAGAUUUGAAUUUUAGCCGAUCGGAAGGCUUUUAGAAUUUGACCCGGCAAAAGC